rnacentral:rRNA from 1 species
ACUCCUACGGGAGGCAGCAGUGGGGAAUAUUGCACAAUGGGGGAAACCCUGAUGCAGCGACGCAGCGUGCGGGAUGACGGCCUUCGGGUUGUAAACCGCUUUCAGCAGGGAAGAAGCGCAAGUGAACGGUACCCUGCAGAAAGAAUGUACCGGCUAACUACGUGCCAGCAGCCGCGGUAAUACGUAGGGUACGAGCGUUGUCCGGAAUUAUUGGGCGUAAAGAGCUCGUAGGUGGUUGGUCACGUCUGCUGUGGAAACGCAACGCUUAACGUUGCGCGUGCAGUGGGUACGGGCUGACUAGAGUGCAGUAGGGGAGUCUGGAAUUCCUGGUGUAGCGGUGAAAUGCGCAGAUAUCAGGAGGAACACCGGUGGCGAAGGCGGGACUCUGGGCUGUAACUGACACUGAGGAGGCGAAAGCAUGGGGAGCGAACAGGAUUAGAUACCCUGGUAGCUACGAG